rnacentral:lncRNA from 1 species
GCCCGGUUCAAAGAUGGCGGCGCCCUGAGUGGCACCUGAGGGAUGCCUCCCAGACCCAAGCUGGCGCCAGUAGCAACUCGGGCUGGUUUGACAGUCCUGCAAUCUGCCGUCAGGAACCGGGACUGGUGUUGCUUGUUGUAUGCUACACUAAGCCCAAUGAGAAGAAGGGGCACUGUGCUCUUUUUGCAACAAUAGCCUUGGAAGCUGUUCCACCUCUCGGCCUGGCUGGACUUCUCCUGAGUUUCAGAGGGUCUCCCACAGAACACCUUCACCUGUUUUACAACCACUGUGACAGACAGACUGAGAUGUAA